GCCCGAGCCCCUCGGUGAUCAGCGAAGGGCGAGACGAACCCGAGAGCAGCUGGAUGAGGAGCAGGAGCGGAGGGUCCGCCUGCAGCUCUACGUCUUCGUGGUCGAUGCAUCGCGUCCCCUUCAACGCCAAGCAGCCCACAGACAUGCCCCGGAGGCAGCAGAAGGGGAUGUGAAAAGAAUGCUCAGGCUCUGCAUUUGAGCCAGAGCUCACUUAAAAGGAAGAUGCUUGGCUAUGGCUAUGGAGGAAAGGUUGUCCCAAGAUCACUUCAAAUCACAAAACAUCCUGAAACCAGAAGUUGGACAUCGCCGUACAAUAUAUGAAUACUAGAGGCCCGGUGCAUGAAAUUCAUUAAUGGGAGGGUAGGGGGCGUUCCUCAGUCUGGCCUGCACCCUCUCCAAUCCAGGACCCCUCAGGGAAUGUUCGACUGCCAGUUUAGGCCCAAUCCUAGUCAGACAUCCCUCUCACAAUACAGGACCACUGGCUCCUAACCGCUCACCUGCCUGCCUGCCAGCCUGCCUGAUCGCUCCUAAACACCUCCAACUGCCUGCCUGGUUAACCCUAACUGCCUCUGCCUGACAACAUGAUCGCCCCCAACCACCUCUGCCUUGGCCCCCACCAAGGAGGACCAGAUGGCAGGAGAUAUCUGGUUGACCUGGUCUAAUUAGCAUAUUACCCUUUUAUUAAUAUAGACUAGUGGCCCAGUAUUCAAA